rnacentral:lncRNA from 1 species
UUAGCUGGUGUUCAAACAGAAUCCUUAGUUGUAUGCAACAGAAAUUGACUUUUUCAGUGAAAGACAAUUCAUUGGAAGAAUGUCAGGCUCUCAAAAUCACUAGGAGAUUGGAGAGUCAAUAAGUGGAAAAGUAGAAACUCAGCAAGCUCCCAGUGGCCCGCACAGGUCACAGAAAGAUAAGGCAGAAACAAAAAUCUCAAGUCAUUUGCAGUAUCUGUCAGCUUUCAAUUUGGCUCUCCUGUCUAGAAGCGUCUCAUGCAAAAAUCCAUCUUUCCGAGCCUUUUUAAGAAUUUUACUGUCUUCUUUACUUAUUUUAAGUUUGUGGUCUUGGAAGCUCUGAAAUUUCUUUACAUAAUUGAUUUCACACUGUUUUACAUUUCCUUUGUCUUCUUCUGGAAUAUCAUCUUUUUUCUUGGUUUCUCUUUCAGCGCAGGAUCUAAUCUUUAUCAUUUCUUCUUCUCCAGCUGUUUUACUUUUUGCUUCUAUGUCCCCUGCUUCAUUACAUCUAAUAAAGCAGGGGACAUAGAAGCAAAAAGUAAAACAGCUGGAGAAGAAGAAAUGAUAAAGAUUAGAUCCUACAAUAUGCUGUGUAGUAUCAGCGUAACACAACUUUCAUAACAACGAAGGACCUCUCACCAUCCCUCACAUCCUAAUUCAAAGCCUCAACAGAGAAUGCCAGUUGGCUAAACCUUGGUCAGACGCCCAGUUUAUACAUUCACCCUGCUGGCUGCCAUGGAACAGA